rnacentral:tRNA from 1 species
GCGCGCGUAGCUCAGCGGACAGAGCGCCGGGCCUUCUAUCCCGGGCGUCGCCGGUUCGACUCCGGCCGCGCGCU